GAGGAGAUUCAGCACAGACACAGUCACUUCACUCAGAGGGGGAGUCUUAUCUCUGAAGAACUGCAUUCUGGGUAUGAAGAUGCUGAUGAGCUUCUCUCAGCAAAAGAGUUUAAAACUGCAUAUUAUGAUGAUGUCACCAAUGGCAGUGACCUAAAAGAAGAGAUGAUGAAAGAAAUCACACCGGGAUACUAUGAUGAUGUCAUCACUGAUGGACUGAAACCAGAUCGUGAGACAGAGAGAGUUCAGGAGGAGUAUGAUGAUGUGAUGAAUGUCAGUGAAGAUGUGAGAAACCUGUUGGAUUAUGAUGAUGUGGAGGAGGAGUCAAACAAAGACGGGGGCCAUUCAGCUCAGUGAUCAUCCACUGCCUCGGUUCAACAAAUCUGAACAAUGUUUGAGUGAUAUUGUUAUUGAUAUGUUAAAACUCAGGUUUUUAUACCCCCCUCCCCACCCCAUCCCUUUUUGUAUUAAAACUUUUAAGCCUUUGAGAGUUUUGUAUAUAUAUAUUUUUUUGGCCUUGUUGAUAUAAAUAAAAAGAAAACUUUUGACUUCUAAUGAAUAUUAUAAUAAGACAUUACACAAACUAUGAAAUCAAGCUUGAGAUCCUACCUUAUAAAGCACAACAACCACAGUGAUAGUUGAAGACAUCUUAAACAUAUGACCAAAUGAGCGUGAGUGAUUUAACAGUCUUCAGCAUCGCUGC